rnacentral:lncRNA from 12 species
CCCCCCCCCCCCCCCCCCCCCCCCCCCCCCCCCCCCCCCCCCCCCCCCCCCCCCAGGCUGAAUCCAUAGGAAAAAAAAAAAAUCAGGAAUGAGUUUUUCCGCUGCAGCUGGGACAUUUCUCCUGAGUCACCACGAGAGGGACACAGAAGGAAACGAAAGGAACUGGGAAAUAAAAAAUCCAAGGAACAGCUCGAGGUUUAAUUGGGGAUAAAUAUUCCCAGAACAAGUCACAGUGGUGGAAUUCCAUGAAGGAAAAGGAGAGGAAGAUUUUGACCAAAAUCCAGAGAUUUGGAAUGAAGACAGUUCUUAGAAAUUAAGGAUGCUCUUUUCUUCCCUGUUUAUGGAAUUUGAGCCAUGGCAAGGUUGGGUCACCAGCAGAGGAAAGCAGGGAUUGGCACCUGGGGACCAGGAUGGUUCUUCCAUGUAAGGAGCAGCCAGGGAUGACGUCCCGGCAGCGAGGAGAAGGAAUGUGGAGCAUAAAUAGCAAAGCACGAAUGGGAGCGGGGACAGAGGCGGCUGCGGGACCGGCGGGAGCAGAGCCCCCAGAGCCCCCGGAGCCCCCGGAGCCCGGCAGGAGCAGAGCCCCCAGACCCCCCCCCCCCCCCCCCCCCCCCCCCCCCCCCCCCCCCCCCCCCCCCCCCCCCCCCCCCC